CAGUCGCCGCGGGAAUACGUAGGUGGCAAGCGUUGUCCGGAAUUAUUGGGCGUAAAGGGCUCGCAGGCGGUUUCUUAAGUCUGAUGUGAAAGCCCCCGGCUCAACCGGGGAGGGUCAUUGGAAACUGGGAAACUUGAGCGCAGAAGAGGAGAGUGGAAUUCCACGUGUAGCGGUGAAAUGCGUAGAGAUGUGGAGGAACACCAGUGGCGAAGGCGACUCUCUGGUCUGUAACUGACGUUGAGGAGCGAAAGCGUGGGGAGCGAACAGGAUUAGAGACCCCGGUAGUCCCUGUCUCUUAUAC
rnacentral:rRNA from 1 species